ensembl:snoRNA
CUUGAUGUCUACCCCAGUGGGGGUUUUUCUGAAGACCCACAUCACUGGAAACACCUCAUAGACUAAAUAAGUGGUUCACUUUGCUCUCAGAAGUACGUUUUAGAUUUGUGGGAAAGAACCACAAAGCAGAG